UGGCUUCUCAGAGGUCUGGGAGACUCAGGCUCCUUCUGCCAGGGCUGCAGUGGCCGACUCCUCCUCCCCCUCCCUCCCCACCCUGCACCGCCUCCAGACCCCAGUCCUGACUAUUGCUUAAUCCCCAGGAACCCAGUUCCUGUGGGCAGCGCCUGACAUGCCUGAUCCUCUCUUUUCUGCAGUUCAAGGGAAAGACAAGAUCUUGCACAAGGCACUCUGCAUCUGCCCUUGGCCAGGGAAGGGUGGCAUGGAGCCUCUCCGGCUGCUCAUCUUACUCUUUGCCACAGAGCUGUCUGGAGCCCACAACACCACAGUGUUCCAGGGCGUGGAGGGCCAGUCCCUACAGGUGUCCUGCCCCUAUGACUCCAUGAAGCAUUGGGGGAGGCGCAAGGCCUGGUGCCGCCAGCUGGGCGAGAAGGGCCCAUGCCAGCGUGUGGUCAGCACGCACAACUUGUGGCUGCUGUCCUUCCUGAGGCGGCGGAAUGGGAGCACAGCCAUCACAGAUGACACCCUGGGCGGCACUCUCACCAUUACACUGCGGAAUCUACAACCCCACGAUGCGGGCUUCUACCAGUGCCAAAGCCUCCAUGGCAGUGAGGCUGACACGCUCCGGAAGGUCCUGGUGGAGGUGCUGGCAGACCCCCUGGAUCACCGGGAUGCUGGAGAUCUCUGGGUCCGCGGGGAGUCUGAGAGCUUCGAGGACGCCCAUGUGGAGCACAGCAUCUCCAGGCCAUCUCGAGGCUCCCAUCUGCCCUCUUGUCUCUCCAAGGAGCCUCUUGGAAGGAGCAAUCCCCUUCCCACCCACUUCCGUCCUUCUCCUCCUGGCCUGCAUCUUUCUCAUCAAGAUUCUAGCAGCCAGCGCCCUCUGGGCUGCAGCCUGGCAUGGACAGAAGCCAGGGACACAUCUACCUAGUGAACCGGACUGUGGCCAUGACCCAGGGCACCAGCUCCAAACUCUGCCAGGGCUGAGAGACACGUGAGGAAGACGAUGGUAGGAAAAGCCCAGGAGAAGUCCCACCAGGGACCAGCCCAGCCUGCAUACGUGCUACUUGGCCACCAGGACUCCUUGUUCUGCUCUGGCAAGAGACUGCUCUGCCUGAACACUGCUUCUCCUGGACUCCGGAAACAGGGACUGUUUGAGGGAGCGGGGAGGUGGUAAGAACACCUGACAACUACUGAACACUGGACAUUUUAAACACUCACAAAUAAACCCAAGACUGUCAUAUUUAACUGGA